AUGAACGCCAUGAGCUGGAACUGUCGAGGGCUUGGGAACCCUGGGACAGUUCGAGAGCUUCACAAGCUUGUGAAGCAAGAAGGCCCCACCCUGCUUUUUGUCAUGGAGACAAAGAUCAGGGGAAAACGUGUGGAAGAUUUGAAGUUUACAUUAGGAUUCUCCGGCUGUUAUGCCGUCGACAGCGACGGUUUGAGCGGAGGGAUCGGUCUGUUUUGG
rnacentral:rRNA from 1 species